GGUUAUGGCUCAGUGGUAGAGUGCUCACCUAGCAAGGGCGAGGCCCUGGGUUCAAUUCCCAGCACCA
rnacentral:tRNA from 1 species